GACGAACGCUGGCGGCGUGCUUAACACAUGCAAGUCGAACGGAAAGGCCCUGCUUGCAGGGUGCUCGAGUGGCGAACGGGUGAGUAACACGUGGGUGAUCUGCCCCUUAUUUUGGGAUAAGCCUGGGAAACUGGGUCUAAUACUGGAUAGGACCAUGCUGUAGGUGGUGUGGUGGAAAGAUUAGUUUCGGUAAGGGAUGAGCUCGCGGCCUAUCAGCUUGUUGGUGGGGUAAUGGCCUACCAAGGCGUCGACGGGUAGCCGGCCUGAGAGGGUGGGCGGCCAACUUGGGGACGAAGAGCCGGCCCAGCACCCGCGGGGGGGCGGGGGGGGGGAAGAGUGCACAAGGGGGGCAGGCCUGAGGCGCCGACGCGGGGGGGGGGAGGAGGGCGUUGGGUUUGAAACCUCCUUCAGGCAAUGAGGAACCCCUGGGGGGGAGGUUAGGGGAAAAAGAAGCCCCGGCUAACUCCGGG
rnacentral:rRNA from 1 species